CAGCUCUGUUCUCCAUUGAGGCUGGUGUUAACAAUGGAAAACUGCAAGUGACUAAUGCAUCACAUCACACAAAAGGUCGGUACGGGACCCCUCAAGCCUCAGCAAGUCCUACUGUCCUGUAGAGAGGGAAAGUCCAGCAGUGUUCUCUGAGCCAGAAAGGAAACCUAGAAGAUGAUUAAAGUUUUUUCCAGCUGUGUGUAUCGAGGAGGAGCCUAGUGUCUACAUGGAGAACCUGGUGAAGGUUUUCCGCCACGGGAAGAAGCUGGCGCUUCACCGAGGGACAGAUCCUGUCCUUCCUGGGACCCAACGGAGGCGGGAAAAGCAGCACCAUGUGAGUGAUGGAGCACAGCGACAGGUCCAGAGACACGUCUAGUAUGCUCUUUAGACUGUCAAAGACAGGGCCAUAGAAAUGGCAGCCAACUCUACCAUAUUAACAGACAACUAUUAGUUAUGUAGAUAGGCUCAUUGAGACUUCAUUGACUGUU